rnacentral:rRNA from 1 species
GCGUGAAUCUGUUUCCAGGACUAGUCCGUACGCAUUUAAUGCUAACAAAAAACAUUUACUAGCUGACAAAAAAAGACACACAUGUAAGUAACCAGCCCGGCCGCCCGUUCCUACGAAAAAGUGGGCGUGCACUUUUAAGAUUUCAGGUACCUACAAUCAUCUAAUGAAAGAACACCUAUUCACUUUUACAUCUGUGCCAAGGCUUUCUCGACAAUACGUUAUCAGCAUGCUCCCGACGGCUCCUGGCGGAGCGAUUCCGUCAGCGCGACGGCUCCUGGCUGCAGCAUCGCUCGCCUGCGAGUUUGACGGCUACAGCCAUUGGUUCGGCGUGGUGGCACGGCGGUCCUCAGCCCGGCGAAAGCGCUUCCAAUCGGCAGCCUCGCGCCGUGCACGGCCACGACGACAAAUCUCUCGGUCUCAAACUGUCACUUCGAUUCCUAUAGGAAUACAUGGGAUAAAUGAGAGAAUGAAGAACAGGGUUACAGGGGCAUGCACCAUGUAUGUGCAUCCAUCGAAACUUAAAACUAGAUCGCUGGACUGGUGGUGUCGCCCGUUGCCAUCUUGCCAUCAAGGACAUGAACAACGACAUCAUCAGAUUCGUCUGACCUCGGCCCCACGCUGGACUGGGACACCAGAACCACCGGUUUCGCCUCCCGCGACGGAAACGAGGCGGCUCGGCCUUCGCGCAAGGUAGCCAGCGGCCGCUUAACGCGCGACCGCGGCAAUGCCCAGCGUGCAUGCCCAUGGCGCCACGCCUUCCAAGUGAGGUACGGGGCUCCUAGCGAGGAGCAUGCAGCAGCCCUCGGCCCGACGGUGCUCCUCUGGGCGUGCCGUGGCCAUCGGCCCUGGCGUUGGCUACACGCCCUCCCACUGCGCAAGUCGCAGACGGCAGCCUCGGCGCUCCUGAGGAUGGCCUCCAACCGCGACGCGGCGUGGAAGACCGAGGCGAUGUCGCGGCCCUCGGCUCGCAACCGCGCAGGCCGGCGAUGGCCCUCCGGCCCCUCAGGCGCGUGAUACGCCGCUCCUCUCACCGACGGAGCGCCACCACGGUGCACAAGCUCCUCCGGGCGACGCGUCCGCGUCCUCCAACGCGAGGCGCGACGCUCCCUCCAUCCGGUCGGCCGCGUGGCAUGGUCGCACGGCUAAGGCGGCGGCCUGACGAGGCCAUGAAGACGACCGGAGCAGCCCUUGGGAUUUCUCCCGAUUGGCAACCGCUCAGAGGAAGAAGAUAAGCCUUAUCUCUUCGCCUCUUUGCACCAAGGUCUCUGCAGUUGCAGAAAUUCGCAGAACAGGCCGAAAGAGUGGUCCAGGCAAAUUUUGCACAAUUCCUUUCUAUUUUUUGGAGUUUGUGAAUUUGGCCUUCUAAAAGUACUAUUUACUAGUACUUGCCUGUCUUAGACCCUGUUAAUUACCCUUUUUUCUGUUGAAUUUUAAAAUUUCAGAAAUAUAAUAUGUGUAUGUUGAUACUUGACAUGUUCAAUGUGUUUACCACAUAUCAAACUCUCUACAACAUGUUUUCCG